AAAAAAAAAACAAAAACAAAUCUGAUUGGUCGUGGUUUGUUUAUUCCUUUCCGCAGAGUUAAAAAUCUAAAAAAAAAAUUGCUUUCCCAGAUCCAACCGCCGCGUCGCCAAAGGCUCAAUCUACAAACCGGCGGUGUCCAAGCCCAGCAUCGAUUCGCACCAGUCACCGUCAGUAUGCCAUUCUCGGAAGGGUCCACGCGACACAAACCGCUGGCAUCUAACUUCCGGCUCAAAACCAUAGCGGCCGCAAGUUGCUUGAAUCUCUAGGCUCCUGACAGGUCCGAGCAGCCACGUAUCCUUCCUCAAUCGAAGCCCUGACUGAAGAAUCCGGCUAAGAAGAGAGGAGAGGAAACCGCUAUCCGAGAUCCAACCUCCGCCGUCGCCAAAGGCUCACUCUAAAAACCGGCAGUUUACAAGUAAUCUGGUUUCCGGGACUUCACGGCGGUGGUGUCCAUGCCUAGCAUCGAUUCGUCAGUCACCAAAUCCUAGACGCCGCAAGUUGCAUGAGUCUCUUGCUCCUGACAGGUCCGAGCAGCCAUCCUCAAUCGAAGCAAUGACUGAAGAAUACGGCUAGGAAGUGAGGAGAGAGAACCAACAUCGCAGACGACAACUUCACUCUAGAAACCGGAGACGACAACUUCACUCUUGAUAAGAACCAAAAAGGAGGAGGGCUUGCUAGCACCAAUUGGACAUAUGAAGAGACAAAAACCUAACGGCUGGGUGUUUCGACCAACAUAAUGAGACAAAUUGAUUGAGUUUCAAAUUUGGUCCAAGUGAAACUUCGCAUGUAACUGGAUGUUAAUAAAAUGAAUAAGUGGAAUUAAAAGAAUGAUAAUUAGUGGAAUCCAAUGGAAUGGAAUUAGUAUUCCAUUUGUUCCAGAACUAUUUAUAGGUAAAAUCAUUUUUCAGAAGAAUGUUGUUAUUUUUUGGAAUGACAAGGAAUAAUAUGGAAUGAGAUGAAAUACUCAUUCUUUUUUUAAUUACAACUAGUGAACAUUUUGUAGAAUGAGAAAGAUUUAAGUAUUCAAGAAAUUUCUAUUCCAAAAAUGCAUUCUAGUCACACGUGAAUCCAUUUUUCCUGGACCAUUUGGAAUUUGGGAUGACCUUGAAUCGGGUCAAACACAUGCCAGUAUCCGAAGAAUUUUGAUCACCGAGAAGCCUAAGGAGUCUUUGACCAAAACCUUUCCAACUUCCUAUUUAUUUUAGAAUCAAAACCUUUUAUUACGUUGAGAAGUUUCAAAGCUUAAAGCCUAUGGUAGGAAUAAAAGGAUUAGGUGAAAUGAAUGGGAGUACAAUGAGCAGUUUGAAGGUCUUUGUGAUUAUUGCUCUGAGAUGGCAUCGAAUGAGACUUUUUCAGUUGAGUUUGAUUCAUCGAGAACAAAGACAUCACUGAUAUUUUUAAUAGGUUAUAUGUUUGUUUUGACGUCCGUAGAAGAGCUUGAAAGAUACGUGUAGACCCUUUUAUUGGAGUAGAUAAGUGUUUCUUAAAGCCAAAACUGAAAAUUUUAAUUGUUGAUUGCUUUGGGUCGUGAUGCAGAUAAUGUGAUUUGCCAAAUCAGAUGGACUCUGGUACUAGCUGAAGACAAGGAUAAUUGGUCGUCGUUUAUAAAGAAGAUCAAAGUUAACCUAGGACUCGAAGAUGGUGAUGUUAUAUUAUGGUUUCCGAUCGAUAAAAGUUAACUUUUUACAUGUAUGGCAUCACCCGAGACAGACUUAGUGAGCUUGAGUCUCGGCCUCUAUCUCCUGCCCAUCUGUGUGUUCCCAUGCCCAUUGAUCUUGGCUUUGACCUCGAUGCUAGAUUUGGGUUCACCAAUGUUUACUUUAUUUUGUUUGAGAGUAUAUAUACUAUAUUUGUACUACAUGUUUAUUUAUCAAUAUUCAAAUUUGUUUUGACCUCA